rnacentral:rRNA from 1 species
CUACGGGGCGCAGCAGUGGGGAAUAUUGGACAAUGGGGGAAACCCUGAUCCAGCAAUGCCGCGUGUGUGAAGAAGGCCUGCGGGUUGUAAAGCACUUUCGGUUGGGAGGACUGCUUCUAGCACUAAUAUUGUUGGAAGUUGACGUUACCUUCAGAAGAAGCACCGGCUAACUCCGUGCCAGCAGCCGUGGUAAUACGGAGGGUGCAAGCGUUAAUCGGAAUUACUAGGCGUAAAGCGCGCGUAGGCGGCUAGAUCAGUCGGGUGUGAAAGCCCCGGGCUUAACCUGGGAACUGCAUCCGGUACUGGCGAGCUUGAGUACAGGAGAGGAGAGUGGAAUUCCACAUGUAGCGGUGAAAUGCGUAGAUAUGUGGAGGAACACCAAUGGCGAAGGCAGCUCUCUGGCCUGAUACUGACGCUGAGGUGCGAAAGCGUGGGGAGCAAACAGGAUUAGAUACCCGAGUAGUC